rnacentral:lncRNA from 1 species
GGCAGGGGCCAAAGGGUUUUCUAUGAUGUAACCUGCUCCCAAAAGGGGGGGGAGAAAACCUUUAGAAAUCAGAGCAGCACUGGUAAAUUAAUUUGUUGGACUGGUGAGUGUGUGGGAUACCUACAGUUUAUUCCUGUCUUUUUCUUUGAUGCCUACCUAGCUAGUUUACUUUUUAUUUUUGCAUUUCUUCCCCCAGAUGUGGAAAAGAUUUUAUUUUCUUUCUUCUAUGGAAGAAAUGCAGUUCUGAGGUGUUUCUUCAGAUUCAGAGAAAUUAUGCCUUGUAACAGGUUUAUUCAUUUAUUUCAGCUACAAUCAAUUUCAAGUGAAAUCCCGAAGUACUUGUUAGUCUUCUCUUCCAUUUGCACACUGUCCCUUUUAUGCAGCAAACUUCAUUUCCCUAAGUAUUUUUUGCUGUGUGAGGUAAUUUUUCUUCCUAAGAAAAUCUCAUGCUGACUUUACUCUGCACUUGGAAACUGGUAAUAUAAUGUUCUUGCUUACAGUAAUGAUAUUCCCCACAUGGGAAUAACUGGUGAUUUACAAGGAAAGGUUUGCUGUUCCCUAGUAACUUAUUUUAAGGAUGCAAACAAGGCCUUGGCUCCCAUAGGAACUCUUCUGCACUCUAUAUGGUCAGUAUAUGCCACAUGAAGGUAAAUUUUAAGUCUUUGAAUUCCACAUUCAAAUUUAGAUUUCAGUAAAUAAUUUUUGACUUAUAGUAGAAAUUAUCAUCUUUGUAGUUAUUUGUCUGCCUGCCUUGUUUUACAUGAGUUCCUGAAUUUUAAAGUCAUACUCAUAAGAGUAUGUGAAGCAUCUUGAACUUUCAUGUGGGUUUUGGGGAGCAUCUGUUGGGGUGGCAGCCGAGUACAUCGAGUUUACAAGUUCCCAUGUACAUAUAUAUGUAUAUAUCUAUCAGAUACAAAUUUGUGCAUGUACACAGUGCACAUACAGAAUUCAUUUAUUCCCUAUCAAUAGGGGCUGGGAGCAUUUAGGGUAGCAAUUUCAAAGGUGCAAGGUGAAUCCAGAAAUAUUUUGGCAUAAUGGGUUCACUGUGAGUCAGAUUUUUUUUUUUUCAUAUAGUGACUUGACUCUAAAUCUGAUGGUCCUUGCUUCUUUCCAGCUAGGUUUCCCAACCACACCACUGUUCAUUGUGUCUGUAGCUGGUACGUUCUUUUUGCUGUCUUUUGGCGUUUCUCUCACACUUGGCUCGAGUUUGAGUAGUGAGAUUUAAAUCAUAUUUUCUUCUUCUCCUUUAGAUUAAUCUUUCUACUUUUCCACUUCUUAGGUUAGAGAAAGACCUUUUCUCUCUCUUUCCGGUUGAGUCAGAGCUUUUUUCUUUCUGCCUGUUUCAUCUGGUUGUUCCUCUUCUGUCAGUUUUUCCAUGUGCAGCAAGUUGAAAAGAAUUUAUUCUUGCUUUGGAACAAGUUUUCAAAUAUUUGUGGGUUGAAAAUAAUGGAAA